GACGAACGCUGGCGGCGUGCCUAAUACAUGCAAGUCGAACGCUGAAGGAGGAGCUUGCUCUUCUGGAUGAGUUGCGAACGGGUGAGUAACGCGUAGGUAACCUGCCUGGUAGCGGGGGAUAACUAUUGGAAACGAUAGCUAAUACCGCAUAACAGUAGAUGUUGCAUGACAUUUGCUUAAAAGGUGCAAUUGCAUCACUACCAGAUGGACCUGCGUUGUAUUAGCUAGUUGGUGGGGUAACGGCUCACCAAGGCGACGAUACAUAGCCGACCUGAGAGGGUGAUCGGCCACACUGGGACUGAGACACGGCCCAGACUCCUACGGGAGGCAGCAGUAGGGAAUCUUCGGCAAUGGACGGAAGUCUGACCGAGCAACGCCGCGUGAGUGAAGAAGGUUUUCGGAUCGUAAAGCUCUGUUGUAAGAGAAGAACGAGUGUGAGAGUGGAAAGUUCACACUGUGACGGUAUCUUACCAGAAAGGGACGGCUAACUACGUG
rnacentral:rRNA from 1 species